rnacentral:rRNA from 1 species
UACAGAGGUCCCAAGCGUUGUUCGGAUUCAUUGGGCGUAAAGGGUGCGUAGGUGGCGUCGUAAGUCGGGUGUGAAAUCUCGGGGCUUAACUCCGAAACUGCAUUCGAUACUGCGGUGCUUGAGGACUGGAGAGGAGACUGGAAUUUACGGUGUAGCAGUGAAAUGCGUAGAGAUCGUAAGGAAGACCAGUGGCGAAGGCGGGUCACUGGACCGGCAUUGACGCUGAGGUGCGAAAGCGUGGGGAGCAAACAGG